rnacentral:lncRNA from 1 species
AGUGGAAAUGACUCAGUAACUUGCAAUUAUUUUUGUGAAGUAUUGAAGCUCAUUAGGACACAGUCUGGGGCUGUAUUUAGCUUUCUCCCAUAUUAAAUUGAAUUGUCUUUAAUCUGCUAUCAAAGCCAGUACUUGCAGGGAUUUUCUGCCUGUCUUUUGUUCUCUGUUUUGAAAGGUGUUCUCUAUUUGUUCUUUGCUCAUAGUUUAACAAAGAAGCUUACACAAUGUUUCACUUCUCAUCUCCUUAAGACCAAAUAAAACUGAAAUUGACUAAAAUAAUAGCUAACAAAAAUUCAAAGCAAAUUUUGUUCAUAUCCUCUCUCCAGAUACCAAGGGUGGGAAUACUGGCAACCAGCAAUGUUUAAUGUUUUAUGAUACUAAGCUUCUGGAACUGAUUUUCCCUUCUUUGUAUAGAUACUUUGUUUUAAGUAUCUAUAAUUUUGGCUCUCUGUAUUCCUUAAAUUGACCUUUAUUGCUGUAACAAGGGCUUCUGAAAGCAUUGACUGAACCUAUCAUUAUGACCAUGUGGAGGAAAGGAAUCUCUGACAAAAAUUUCAAGUGACUCAUAUCUGACGUAUUUACUGAUUUCUCUUUACACAGCCAGCCAUUGAUGAUAACAGUCAAGAAUAGAAGACAUUUCUUUAAUUAUUCCUAAAAGGUCCCACUUCUUCCUGUUCACUAUAUUUUGAGCCACUGAGGUCUUUUAACUUGAAGAUAAUCAUAUUUUAAUUGUCUCUCAAUAAUCCUAAUAUAAGAUUAUAACUCAAGCCAUUUCCUCAAACUGAAGCCUUUGACUCAGAUUUGUAGACAGAUACAAUAUAAAAUUUUAUUUUAUUGUAACCUAAUACAUAAAUGAAGACAAUCACCUUACUAAAACCACAGAUGGUUCUAGAAAGUACCAAAACUUUUGCUUCCAAGGGAGAAUGGUAGGAAGAUUUCCCUUAUAUAUGAAAGCAGAGAAUAGGAAUAGAGAAAAGGCCUUCCUUCCUUCUUUUCUUCCCUCUUUUCUUUCCUUCCUCCCUUCUUCCUUUCAUACUUAUUUUCCUUCCUUCUUCCCUCCCUCCUUCCCUUUCUUCCUUCAUUCUUAGAAGUUUUGAGAUAGUCUCACACAGAAUGGCCUGAACUAUGUAACCACAAUCUUGUCUCUUGCUUCCUGGCAAUAUUUAUCCCUCAGCCCAGCAAUACAGAUAUGAAUCAUGACACCAGGCACACAUAGCCUGGUUUUCAAUUGAGAGCUAUUAAUACUGCCUUUCCUAAAACUUUGUGCUUGAGAGAGUCUAAUUUGGCAUUUCCAAAGAAAAUGUGGAGAAAGGGAGGAUACUGUGAAAUCUUGGCAUUUGCUGAUGACGUUCACAGGUUGAUAGUGAGAGCCAAAGCUCGAGAAGAUUAAUUAGAAGAGUGUAGCAAGAGCAUGAAAUGAAUUGGCAAAAAUAAUUUUGUAUUAACCACGACAGGUAACUGCAGUAUUCCCACUGAGAACAGCUAAUGCAGCCUUGAGACCACCACACAACCGGUAACAAAUGGCAGCAUCCCUAACUAUAGGCACAGAGCUUUUCUUGCCGUGCACAAAGUUUAAGAUUCUGAAAGUCAUAAGUCCUUCCUUUUAUCAUGACAGUUUCAGAACAGGGAAUUGCAUUUUGGAAAGUUGAAAAAGGAUCAAAGGUAUCCAAAGUUUUCAUUUUAUAAUUAUUGUUAUUUUGCCUAUCAUUUUAAAACAUUUUUUUUUGUUUUGAAGAAAAGAAGAAAGAAAAAAGGAAGAAAGGCAAGAAAGGAAAAGAAAGGAAGGAGGGGAAGGAAGGAGGGAGGGAGAGAAAGAAGGAAGAAGGGAGAGAGGGGAAAAAAGGAGGAAGGCAAAGGAAAGGAAUGUCACUGUGCUUAUGAUGUGUCUACAUAAGCUCACCAAGCAUCAUCUAUAGCAUAAUUUUGUUAGGAAACAAUCUUAGAUUCUAAUAUUUGUUAUUCAUAUGUUUUGAAAUUUGAUUUCUCUAUAAAUCCACAAAGCUUUCUUCUUAAUGCAAAGUAUAUUUUAUUAAUUGUGAAAAUUGAAUUGGUUGCUUUUUUAUAGAUUAAUGGAGUAUUUUUGAAGUGCUUUUCUUGUAUUAGAACAAUUGAGGACAUUGGUACCCUUCAUUGUUGUUGUACCUUUUUGAUUUCAAACAAGAACAUUUCAUUGAGGCUGUUGGUCAGAAUCAUGGAUUUUUGUAUGCUCACAAGUGACUUGUUCACAUAUUUUGUUGUGAGUCCUGGAGAUCCUGAAAAUAUUUCUAGAGGAAAGAACUAAGAAAAUAUUAUAGAAAGAGAAGAUAAAAGUAAAAAAGGCUACAAGAACAAAUGUAUUGACUUUUCUGUACCUGAUGGGUUCCGGGGUACCUUUGAUUCACCUUGAUGCCAACUUUAGAAGAAUCUAUUUUCACUGGAGUUGCAAGUGCCAUUGUUUCCUAUGCUUGAUGUUCAUCUGAGUUACUUUUCUGUUGCUGUGAAAAAUUACCAUGGCCUAGACAACUUAUAGAAGAAAGAGUUUAUUUGGGCUUAUGGUUCAGAGGGAUGGGAGUCCAUCAUGGCAGAGAAAAGUGUCAAGAAAGCUCUUAGUCUGCAGAGGAGCAGGAAGAUGAAUGCUCAUAUUAUCAAACCCAAGUAUAAGAAGAGAGUGAACUGUAAAUAGGGUAAGACUGUGUAAUCUCAAAGUCUGUCCACAGCAGUGCCUAUUUUCCAGCAAAGCUGCACUGCCCAAACCUACCCCAAAUAGUACUGCCUUCUGGAGCCAAGUAUUUAGAUCAAGACCUUGAGGGACAGUUCUCAUUCAAACCACUAGUGUGUUCUUGCAGCCUUGGACACAGCCAUCUUGAAGUCUGGCCUCUUAAGUUUCUGUGAAGUUGAUUUUCUGAUAAUAAAAACCAGAAGUCUUCAGUGCCUAGUACACAGAUCUGUGAAAGCAAACCUUUAUUUUUCUUGUACAAUCCAAGGCUUGAUAAUCAGUUUUUCUGUUACCUGUUCAUUAGUCAACGAGCAUGCUCUUUACCUCAUCACAUCUCUAGGACAGUUAGCCAGGCAUCUUUCUUCAUCCUUGCCUGACUUCAGUCAUGUACUUCUUGGUUUUUGCUUUUUAUUUUUAAGAAUUAAUUUAUUUUAAUAAUGUAUAUGUAAGUGUGCUCAUGAAGGCAUGAGCACUCUAAUGCAAAGCUUUGAUCACCCACUCCAUUGACCCCACACAUUUCUUCAGUGAUAUGUAACCCAUGAACCUCAUACACAUGGAUUCCUUUGGGCUCCAUCUGAUGAAGCUUUCCUGUCUCCAUGGUUUUGAACAUGAGAGCAACUAACUCCUCUCCUCAUACAUAAUGCUCACACCACUCACUGUUCUGCAGGGUUCUUCAUUGCACUUGGGAGGUUAACCAAAGAUCGUGAUUGUGGCUUCCAUUGCUGCUGAGAUAUAGUUUCUUCAACUUCAUGCUCAUCCUUUCUACCUGAGGUGCUCAAAGUUCACCAUGAAAAUUGUACCCAAAGUACCAUAUUUUUUUUCCUCUCCCUAGAGGCCCACUAA